GCUUCUAUUACAGAUGGAUCACUAGUCAGUGAAGUGAAAUAUUCAGCUGACCACUGUUCUCUUUGAAGGGGAAAAUAAGAUUAUCCAUUGAAAAUGGAAGAUCAUGGUAAAAGCCAUGAAGAGAGAGAAGAGCAAUGAAAAUUUCAAAGUGCUGGUAAAGGAAACAGAAAGGAAAUUGAGCACUCAUAGCUAAUAAUAAUCACAGUUCACCUGUAUUAAACUCCUACUGUAUGCCAAGCAUUGUACAUAUUAUCUCUAACCUUUAACAAACAAAAAGGAAAAAUGGCUACAGCAAUUUUAUUAUCUCUUCUUAUAGAUCUGCACUGUUCAGUAAGGUAGCCAUUAGCCACAUAUGAACACUGAGUACUUAAAAUGUGGCAAAUCUGAAUUAAAAUGUUCUAUAAGUGGGCCAGGCACAGUGGCUCAUGCCUGUAAUCCCAGCACUUUGGGAGGCUGAGGUGAGCAGAUCACCUGAGGUUAGGAGUUCAAGAGCAGCCCGGCCAGCAUGACGAAACCCGGUCUCUACUAAAAAUACAAAACAACUAGCCAAGCGUGGUGGUGUGUGCCUGUAGUCCCAGCUACUUGGGAGGCUGAGGCAGGAGAAUUGCUUGAACCCGGGAGGUGGAGGUUGCAGUGAGCCAAGGUCACGCCACUGCACUCCAGCAUGGGCGACAGAGCAAGACUCCAUUUCAAAAAAAGAAAAAAUAUAUUUUAUAAGUAUAAAAUACAUACUAUAUUUCAAAGAUUUAGUAUUAGACAAAAGAAUGUAAAAUAUCUCAGUAUUUCUGUAUUGAUUGCAUGAUUUUUGAAAUUACUUUGUUAAAUAUAUUAUUAAAAUUAAUGUCACCUGUUUCUUUUUAUGUGUUUAAAUAUGGUACUAGAAAAUGUAAAACCUCACAUGAUGCUUUCAUUGUGCUUUAUUGGACAGUGCCAUUGGAGCUUGGAGAUAUUAACUGAGAUUUGAAACAAGUCUGCCCAAUGCCAAAGCCAGUGCUGUUACUCAACACAGUGCUGCUUCUGAGGACAGGCACGAGGAUGGCAGAGAGAUGCUCAGAAUUCAGAUGGAAUGAGAAACCUGAAAUUGAAGAUGUGUCAGGCUACAGAAAGAUGCAAGUGUCUGUAGCAGAGGAGCCCAGGAGCGAUAAAGGAGGAAGCUGAUUGUUGUUUCAAACCAUGGUCGGGGGUGGACAGCCACAUUUGCCUUCAUUCUAGUCUCCACCUCAAAGCCUUUGGUCUUGCUGUUCCUGUGCCUGGAAUGUUCUACUGACACCCACCACAGGCCUGGUUACUUCUCAUCAUUCAGGCUUUGGUUCAGAUGGGAUCUCCACAGAGAGGACUUUCCUGCUGUCUUAGAUAGUCCAUGCCAUGUUCACAUCUGUCUCCUGCCUCCACCAGUCAAGCUCUAUCCUGUUUCUCUGUUUGUUUUAUUAAUAAAAUAAGAAUUGUUGACAAUAAGAGUACAUUGGUUUAUUGAGUUUAUAUAUCCACCACUGGAAUGUGAACUAUGCAAGGGCAGGAACUGUCUCUUCACCACUCAAUCUCUA
rnacentral:lncRNA from 1 species